rnacentral:rRNA from 1 species
AUUGAACGCUGGCGGCAUGCCUUACACAUGCAAGUCGAACGGCAGCACGGGAGCAAUCCUGGUGGCGAGUGGCGAACGGGUGAGUAAUAUAUCGGAACGUGCCCAGUCGUGGGGAUAACGUAGCGAAAGCUACGCUAAUACCGCAUACGAUCUAUGGAUGAAAGCGGGGGAUCGCAAGACCUCGCGCGAUUGGAGCGGCCGAUAUCAGAUUAGGUAGUUGGUGAGGUAAAGGCUCACCAAGCCGACGAUCUGUAGCUGGUCUGAGAGGACGACCAGCCACACUGGGACUGAGACACGGCCCAGACUCCUACGGGAGGCAGCAGUGGGGAAUUUUUGGACAAUGGGCGCAAGCCUGAUCCAGCAAUGCCGCGUGCAGGAUGAAGGCCC